rnacentral:rRNA from 1 species
UACAGAGGGUGCGAGCGUUAAUCGGAAUUACUGGGCGUAAAGCGUGCGUAGCCGGUUAUGUAAGUCGGAUGUGAAAGCCUCGGGCUCAACCUGGGAAUUGCAUUCGAGACUGCAUAGCUAGGAUGCGGAAGAGGGAAGUGGAAUUUCCGGUGUAGCGGUGAAAUGCGUAGAUAUCGGAAGGAACAUCAGUGGCGAAAGCGACUUCCUGGUCCAGCAUCGACGUUCAGGCACGAAAGCGUGGGGAGCAAACAGG